GGGUUAAGUCCCGUAACGAGCGCAACCCUUGCCUUAGUUACCAGCACGUUAUGGUGGGCACUCUAAGGAGACUGCCGGUGACAAACCGGAGGAAGGUGGGGAUGACGUCAAGUCAUCAUGGCCCUUACGGCCUGGGCUACACACGUGCUACAAUGGUCGGUACAAAGGGUUGCCAAGCCGCGAGGUGGAGCUAAUCCCAUAAAACCGAUCGUAGUCCGGAUCGCAGUCUGCAACUCGACUGCGUGAAGUCGGAAUCGCUAGUAAUCGUGAAUCAGAAUGUCACGGUGAAUACGUUCCCGGGCCUU
rnacentral:rRNA from 1 species